CUCGGGUGAAAUCUAAGAUGGGUCCAAUGACUUUCUCAAGUUUCAGAUAAAAAGUUUCUGGAUACUUUUAGUCAUGAAGCCAAUCUUCUUACAGUAAUGAAGACAUCCUUUCUGGGAUAUCCCGUCCUUUCUGGAAUGUCUAGUCAAGGUGGAGUAAACAUAUUCCACUCUGUCUCUCUCCAUGAAGGAAGUUAAAACCCUGGAUGGAAUGUAUGUAGCAGUUCUCUGAGGAGCCUGUAAAGUAAGUAGCAGCAGGUAGAUUAAGGAAAGAAACCAGAACCUGAAGUACUACUGAACCACUUUUCCCCUCUGGCAUCUCCUGCCGUAGGACCGAGACAGCUGGAAAACAGAAACUAUACAUCAGAAAUUCUAUGGCAGUGGUGGUGACAAUUGCAGUGGUGGCUGGUCAGGUAUCCAAAACUCCAAGAAAGGAGAGUCCUUAUGUAUGACCAGAGAAACUGAAAGAAGUUCCUGCUGCUUUUUCCCCCUCUCUAUCCUCUUGCUGCUCGGCAUUGGAGGCAGAAAGAGCUGGCCCCUUACUCUGGCCACUGGUAGCCUUCAGUUUGCUGAGGGCUUGUAUGUUUUUGCUCACUUGUUUUUCUACAAUAUUCUUCGGCUACAAUGACCACCACAUAAACUCUUGUUCACAUAUUUUAUGUCCAGGACAAAGCUCCUAUCCUUGAUCAAGCCUCUUCUUUCCGGAAAUGGCUUUACCUACCUCUGUUAUAAUCAUCUCGUCAUUAUCGCUUUUGCUCAUAGGCUGUCACCUUCAUUUGUGGAUUCAUUCCCACCCUUCAGUGGCUGUUUCAGU
rnacentral:lncRNA from 1 species